rnacentral:rRNA from 1 species
AUUGAACGCUGGCGGCAGGCCUAACACAUGCUAGUCGAACGGCAGCACAGAAGAGCUUGCUCUUUGGGUGGCGAGUGGCGGACGGGUGAGUAAUGUCUGGGAAACUGCCCGAUGGAGGGGGAUAACUACUGGAAACGGUAGCUAAUACCGCAUAACGUCGCAAGACCAAAGUGGGGGACCUUCGGGCCUCACACCAUCGGAUGUGCCCAGAUGGGAUUAGCUAGUAGGUGGGGUAAUGGCUCACCUAGGCGACGAUCCCUAGCUGGUCUGAGAGGAUGACCAGCCACACUGGAACUGAGACACGGUCCAGACUCCUACGGGAGGCAGCAGUGGGGAAUAUUGCACAAUGGGCGCAAGCCUGAUGCAGCCAUGCCGCGUGUAUGAAGAAGGCCUUCGGGUUGUAAAGUACUUUCAGCGGGGAGGAAGGCGGUGAGGUUAAUAACCUUGCCGAUUGACGUUACCCGCAGAAGAAGCACCGGCUAACUCCGUGCCAGCAGCCGUCGUAA